UACGUAGGGUGCGAGCGUUGUCCGGAAUUAUUGGGCGUAAAGAGCUCGUAGGCGGUUUGUCGCGUCGGAUGUGAAAACCCAGGGCUCAACCCUGGGCCUGCAUUCGAUACGGGCAGACUAGAGUAUGGCAGGGGAGACUGGAAUUCCUGGUGUAGCGGUGAAAUGCGCAGAUAUCAGGAGGAACACCGGUGGCGAAGGCGGGGUCUCUGGGCCAAAAACUGACGCUGGAGGAGCGAAAAGCCGUGGGGAGCGAACAGG
rnacentral:rRNA from 1 species